GAUGAACGCUGGCGGCGUGCCUAACACAUGCAAGUCGAGCGAUUCUCUUCGGAGAAGAGCGGCGGACGGGUGAGUAACGCGUGGGUAACCUGCCCUGUACACACGGAUAACAUACCGAAAGGUAUGCUAAUACAAGAUAAUAUGCUUUUAUCGCAUGGUAGAAGUAUCAAAGCUCUGGCGGUACAGGAUGGACCCGCGUCUGAUUAGCUAGUUGGUAAGGUAACGGCUUACCAAGGCGACGAUCAGUAGCCGACCUGAGAGGGUGAUCGGCCACAUUGGGAACUGGAGACACGGUCCAAACUCCUACGGGAGGCAGCAGGUGGGAAUAUUGCACAAUGGGCGAAAGCCUGAUGCAGCAACGCCGCGUGAGCGAUGAAGGCCUUCGGGUACUAAAGCUCUGUCCUCAAGGAGAUAAUGAC
rnacentral:rRNA from 1 species